rnacentral:rRNA from 1 species
AGCGAACGCUGGCGGCAGGCUUAACACAUGCAAGUCGAGCGGGCCCUUCGGGGUCAGGCGGCAGACGGGUGAGUAACACGUGGGAACGUACCCCUCGGUUCGGAAUAACUCAGGGAAACUUGAGCGUAAUACCGGAUACGCCCUUUGGGGGAAAGGUUUACUGCCGAAGGAUCGGCCCGCGUCUGAUUAGCGUAGUUGGUGGGGUAACUGGCCCACCAAGGCGACGAUCAGUAGCUGGUCUGAG